rnacentral:misc_RNA from 1 species
CCUUUCAAUGCAGAAGAGUUGAGGUGGUUGAGUAUCUCGCCCCUCAAUUCUCGCUGUAUUUUUACCCUUGUUUUUCUCAUACUAUUAUUUCCUCGGCAGGCCAGCCUGCCGGGUGAAACAACUUCAACCUGUUUAAUUUUCAAUCAGCGUCUGAACAAAUUAAUAAUUA